rnacentral:lncRNA from 1 species
AAUAACCGUAUAUGUCCAAUUUGGGAACAGAAAUUAAAUUCCGUCUAAAAGACGGUACAACAAAAGUCUCACUCAAAUCUAAAUAAAAACCAGUGUUAAACAACAGCCUAAAUUUGCCAAUAGCCUCAACUUGCACCUUUUUGCCGUAACCCACAUAGAUGUAUCUUUCACCAUCAUUUGAUUUUCGGCAGUUCAGGCAACCCUGCAUAGAUAUACUUAUGUGAGUAGUAGCAGCCGAAUCU